UUUUUACUUUAGUGGCGAACGGGGGCGUAAUACGGGAGAUUCUGCCUUUGGGAGAAAAAUAACUGGUGGAAACGGCUGCUAAAUCUUCUUAUGCCGAGAGGAGAAAUAUUUUAUGCUGCCUAAGGAUGACCUCACGCCUGAUUUGCUUGUUGGGGAGGAAACGGCUUACCAAGGUCACCAUCAGUUGAUUGGUUUGAGAGAAUCAACCACCUCGGGGGGAAUAGAAACCGCCCCUCCUCCUCCGGGAGGCGGGGGGAAUAUUUUUCCGUGGUGGAAGAAAGUCUGACGGAAUCCACCGGCGGAAAAAAGAACUUUUUUGGUCUGAAAUCCUUUUUUUCUCCAAAAAAAAGUUUUUAC
rnacentral:rRNA from 1 species